rnacentral:rRNA from 1 species
AUUGAACGCUGGCGGCAGGCCUAACACAUGCAGGUCUAACGAGUGGCGGACGGGUCAGUUCUGUCUGCGAAUCUGCCUGUUGUAGGGGGAUGCCUACUGGAAACGGUAUCUAAUACCGCAUACCCUCGGAUGUGCCACGAUGGGAUUAGCUAGUAGGUGGGGUAAAGGCUCACCUAGGCGACGAUCCCUAGCUUGUCUGAGCGGAUGACCAGUCAAACGGGAACUGAGACACGGUCAAGAAUCCUACGGGAGGCGGCAGUGGGGAAUAAUGCACAUUGGGCGCAAGCCGGAUGCAGCUAGGUCGGGGGGAAGAAGAAGGCAAUCGGGUUGUAAAGUACUUUGAGCGGGGAGGCGUGCCUCGCAGAAGAAGCACAGGCUAACUCCGCGCAAGCAGCCGCGGUAAUUC